CUUGUAGAGGGGGGUAGAAUUCCAGGUGUAGCGGUGAAAUGCGUAGAGAUCUGGAGGAAUACCGGUGGCGAAGGCGGCCCCCUGGACAAAGACUGACGCUCAGGUGCGAAAGCGUGGGGAGCAAACAGGAUUAGAUACCCUGGUAGUCCACGCCGUAAACGAUGUCUACUUGGAGGUUGUGCCCUUGAGGCGUGGCUUCCGGAGCUAACGCGUUAAGUAGACCGCCUGGGGAGUACGGCCGCAAGGUUAAAACUCAAAUGAAUUGACGGGGGCCCGCACAAGCGGUGGAGCAUGUGGUUUAAUUCGAUGCAACGCGAAGAACC
rnacentral:rRNA from 1 species